GAUGCGCUGGAUUAUGGAGAAAGCUAGAGAGUUCCAGAAAGACAUCUACUUCUGCUUCAUUGACUAUGCAAAAGCCUUUGACUGUGUCGACCACAGCAAACUAUGGCAAGUUCUUAACGAUUAAUAUAGCACUAUAUUAAGUGUUGAGAGUAAUACCUGUUUUACUUCCCUUUGCAGAUAACUGUGGGAAAAUGCCCCUUAAUUGCCAAAAGCCUUUAAGUAAGGAAGCAACCCAAUUAUCAAUUGGCAAAGCAAUAUGAUUAAUGCCACGACAUACCUUAAGAAGGGACAAUAGCUUUCUGUGGGGAGCUUGCCACUAUUAGCUGAAAGGCAUUACUUAUGGUUUGCAGGGGGGACGGGGGACGGGACAAGAGCUUUUAAAAUAAUAAUUAUGUCAUAUAAGGCGUCUUGGUUCUCACUGACUCACUCAUUUGGUCUGAUUAUUAGGAAGAGGAAUGACAUUUUUGUACAGCUCAUAAUCAGAAAAUAGAAGAUUCCUGCUUAGUGUGUUGUGUGUGGUUUUUUUAAAAAAAGAUACCUUAAAUGUUUAAGAUAACCUUUGUGGAAAAAACCGAGGCUUUUUUAUUAGGAAUUAUAGGUGCAGAAAUACCAAAGGAGCAGAAAAGACUAUUUAUGUACGCAAUAACGGCUACGCAGAUGCUUUUUGCCCAGAGAUGGAAGAAAGAUAAAGUCCCAACCAGAGAAGAAUGGAUAAUAAAGGACUACAUCAAAAUGGCAAAAAUGACCGGGAAGAUCAGAAACCAAGAAGAUAGAAACUUGAAUAAGGAAUGGGGGAAAUUUAUAGAAUAUUUAGGAGAACACUGUAAACAAUUAAAAACUUUGCAGGAUUUUAAUAACACUUAUAAUGUAACAAAAACUAGG